rnacentral:rRNA from 1 species
AUUGAACGCUGGCGGCAGGCUUAACACAUGCAAGUCGAACGAGUGGCGGACGGGUGAGUAAUGUAUGGGGAUCUGCCUUAUGGAGGGGGAUAACGACGGGAAACUGUCGCUAAUACCGCAUACUAUCGGAUGAGCCCACAUGGGAUUAGCUAGUGGGUGGGGUAAUGGCCUACCAAGCCGACGAUCUCUAGCUGGUCUGAGAGGAUGACCAGCCACACGGGGACUGAUAAACGGCCCGGACGCCUACGGGAGGCAGCAGUGGGGAAUAUUGCGCAAUGGGGGCAAGCCUGACGCAGCCAUGCCGCGUGAAUGAAGAAGGCCUUCGGGUUGUAAAGUACUUUCGGCGGGGAGGCGUUACCCGCAGAAGAAGCACCGGCUAACUCCGUGCCAGCAGCCGCGGUAAUUC